rnacentral:lncRNA from 1 species
CAAUGAGCAGAUAUCUGCAUUGAAAUAGCCUUUUCGUCAUGUUUUCACAUUGCCAAAUACCGUAGAAAAUGAGGUAAAUUGAGGGACAUUAAUGAGAAACAUUACUACCUGUUAAUAUGUUGUAGACAUUUAAACUUUGAGUCUAACUGUUUGCAUCUUGCCUCUCUUUGGCUUUAUACAGGUGGUGAAUGCUGAAGUCUUCCAUUCUUUCUGCACCAGGUCCUGUGCUGUUGCACCAUCAACUAACGAAAGUGCAGGUGGACCAUUACUAGAAAAAGAGCAGGACUGCAAACAGAAAAGUCCAAGUCAACAAGCCAGUGACGGUUCUCAACUUGACGCCAGCAGUAACCAACUCUACAAAGAAAACGCAGCAUUCCUCUUCUCCAAAGUAAACCUAUAACAAAAACCCCUGCCAUCUAUAAUAGCAACUCAUGGUCCCACGGAGCUUCAUACAUUUUCCAGAGUUUCAAAACCUGGCUAACACUGAGUCAAGUUAGGAGCCUCAAUCGAUAUCUCUGACCAACUUAAAGCAUGUGUAGAAUGUUUGAUGUACCUGAAAGUGAGUAAAAUGUGAAAGUCAAUUGCUGGAAUUGGUUGAAUGAGAAUGUCGAGUGAAGAAGACAAGACAGCAGCAGAGGAAGAGGAAUGUAUCAUCCAAGAAGGGAAAAGAGAAAUACUAUUACUAUCUAUUGUCUUGGUGGUUCUCAUGAGGAGUUAAGGGAGAAUUUCUAACCAGGAAGAAGAUCACAGAAACACACUAUACAGGCCAAGCAUGGUGGUUCAUGCCUGUAAGCCCAGCACUUUGGGAGGCCAAGGCUGGUGGGUCAUGAGGUCAGGAGUUCGAGACCAGCCUGGCCAAUACAAAUACAAAAAAUUAGUUGGGCAUAGUGGUGCUGGCCUGUAGUCCCAGCUACUUGGGAAGCUGAGGCAGAAGAAUUGCUUGAACCUGGGAGGUGGAGGUUGCAGUGAGCCAAAAUCAUGCCACUGUACUUCAGCCUGGCCAACAGAACAAGACUCCAUCUCAAAUAAAAAAAAAAUUCUAUAUAUACAACCCUGAAGUCCUUCACCAAGCAAGCACAAGGAUGGAAGCUUUGACCUUUUGCAUAAUUUUGAGGCCUAAAGUGUGAGAAUUGCUGGAAAUGCUAUGAUAUUAUAUUUGUAUUAAUUUGUUUUUAUUUAGAAAUGUUGAUGAAGAUGAUGGUAAUGAUGAUGACACUUAAAAUAACAGGUACUCACUGUUAAAAAAUAAUCUUAAAAGUUUACCAAACUUACAAUAAAGAAAGAGUAAAAGUUAUCCUUGGUGCUGCAACCUUUGUCCAACAUGGUUCAUGUAACCAGUGUUAAGAGUGUAACCACAAAGUUUUUUAGUGGAGUAUUUGUAAGCAAUUAUGUUUACCCAACAAGAUAUACUAGUAUUGCUUUUCUUUGCCUCUGUUUCUGAUGAGUUAUUCAUACAAUAGAGGCUAGAAUACUCAAGUGAAAAUAAUAC